rnacentral:rRNA from 1 species
UUGUUCGGAAUUAUUGGGCGUAAAGGGUGCGUAGGCGGUUUGGUAAGUCUUGUGUGAAAUCUACAGGCUCAACUUGUAGUCUGCACGAGAAACUGCCGGGCUUGAGUGUGGGAGAGGUGAGUGGAAUUCCUGGUGUAGCGGUGAAAUGCGUAGAUAUCAGGAGGAACACCUGUGGCGAAAGCGGCUCACUGGACCAUAACUGACGCUGAUGCACGAAAGCUAGGGGAGCAAACAGG